rnacentral:rRNA from 1 species
ACGCUAGCUACAGGCUUAACACAUGCAAGUCGAGGGGCAGCAUGGUCUUAGCUUGCUAAGGCCGAUGGCGACCGGCGCACGGGUGAGUAACACGUAUCCAACCUGCCGUCUACUCUUGGACAGCCUUCUGAAAGGAAGAUUAAUACAAGAUGGCAUCAUGAGUCCGCAUGUUCACAUGAUUAAAGGUAUUCCGGUAGACGAUGGGGAUGCGUUCCAUUAGAUAGUAGGCGGGGUAACGGCCCACCUAGUCUUCGAUGGAUAGGGGUUCUGAGAGGAAGGUCCCCCACAUUGGAACUGAGACACGGUCCAAACUCCUACGGGAGGCAGCAGUGAGGAAUAUUGGUCAAUGGGCGAGAGCCUGAACCAGCCAAGUAGCGUGAAGGAUGACUGCCCUAUGGGUUGUAAACUUCUUUUAUAAAGGAAUAAAGUCGGGUAUGGAUACCCGUUUGCAUGUACUUUAUGAAUAAGGAUCGGCUAACUCCAUGCCAGCAGCCGCGGUAAUACGGAGGAUCCGAGCGUUAUCCGGAUUUAUUGGGUUUAAAGGGAGCGUACAUGGAUGUUUAAGUCAGUUGUGAGAGUUUGCGGCUCACCCGUAAAAUUGCAGUUGAUACUGGAUAUCUUGAGUGCAGUUGAGGCAGGCGGAAUUCGUGGUGUAGCGGUGAAAUGCUUAGAUAUCACGAAGAACUCCGAUUGCGAAGGCAGCCUGCUAAGCUGCAACUGACAUUGAGGCUCGAAAGUGUGGGUAUCAAACAGGAUUAGAUACCCUGGUAGUCCACACGGUAAACGAUGAAUACUCGCUGUUUGCGAUAUACUGCAAGCGGCCAAGCGAAAGCGUUAAGUAUUCCACCUGGGGAGUACGCCGGCAACGGUGAAACUCAAAGGAAUUGACGGGGGCCCGCACGAGCGGAGGAACAUGUGGUUUAAUUCGAUGAUACGCGAGGAACCUUACCCGGGCUUAAAUUGCAGAUGAAUUACGGUGAAAGCCGUAAGCCGCAAGGCAUCUGUGAAGGUGCUGCAUGGUUGUCGUCAGCUCGUGCCGUGAGGUGUCGGCUUAAGUGCCAUAACGAGCGCAACCCUUGUUGUCAGUUACUAACAGGUUCCGCUGAGGACUCUGACAAGACUGCCAUCGUAAGAUGUGAGGAAGGUGGGGAUGACGUCAAAUCAGCACGGCCCUUACGUCCGGGGCGACACACGUGUUACAAUGGGGGGUACAGAGGGCCGCUACCACGCGAGUGGAUGCCAAUCCCCAAAACCUCUCUCAGUUCGGACUGGAGUCUGCAACCCGACUCCACGAAGCUGGAUUCGCUAGUAAUCGCGCAUCAGCCACGGCGCGGUGAAUACGUUCCCGGGCCUUGUACACACCGCCCGUCAAGCCAUGGGAGCCGGGGGUACCUGAAGUGCGUAACCGCGAGGAGCGCCCUAGGGUAAAACUGGUGACUGGGGCUAAGU